rnacentral:rRNA from 1 species
CCUACGGGAGACAGCAGUGGGGGAUAUUGCACAAUGGGGGGAACCCUGAUGCAGCGACGCCGCGUGGGUGAAGGAGUGCUUCGGCAUGUAAAGCCCUAUCGGCAGGGAAGAAGCAAGACGGUACCUGACUAUGAAGCUCCGGCUAACUACGUGCCAGCAGCCGCGGUAAUACGGAGGGGGCGAGCGUUAUCCGGAUUCACUGGGUGUAAAGGGAGCGUAGACGGACAAGCAAGCCAGGGGUGAAAGCCCGGGGCCCAACCCCGGGACUGCCCUUGGAACUGGAUGGCUGGAGUGCGGGAGGGGCAGGCGGAAUUCGUAGUGUAGCGGUGAAAUGCGUAGAUAUUAGGAAGAACACCGGUGGCGAAGGCGGCCUGCUGGACGAUGACUGACGUUGAGGCUCGAAAGCGUGGGGAGCAAACAGGAUUAGAUACCCGAGUAGUC